rnacentral:tRNA from 1 species
UGGGAUAUAGCUCAGUUGGUAGAGUGCUUGCCUUACAUGCACAAGGCUGAGAAUCGAACCUAGUACCUCAC